AGACUUCGGUGGAUUUGAUCUAUUUCUAGUGGCGGACGGGUGAGUAACGCGUGGGUAACCUGCCUUAUACAGGGGGAUAACAGUCAGAAAUGGCUGCUAAUACCGCAUAAGCGCACAGAGCUGCAUGGCUCAGUGUGAAAAACUCCGGUGGUAUAAGAUGGACCCGCGUUGGAUUAGCUAGUUGGUGGGGUAACGGCCCACCAAGGCGACGAUCCAUAGCCGGCCUGAGAGGGUGAACGGCCACAUUGGGACUGAGACACGGCCCAGACUCC
rnacentral:rRNA from 1 species